GGUGUUUGCAGUAACAGUUUACUUCGAUCUUUGAUGUCACCACCAAUGUGAUAGGGCAGACCACAGUUGGCAAAGGAAACAAAUUCGCCCCGUUCAAACAUGAUGAUUUCUGCGUCUUCACUUAAACGACGUGCACGAGCCGCCGCUGAUGCACCACCUGCUACGCCAC
rnacentral:antisense_RNA from 1 species